rnacentral:rRNA from 1 species
CUCAUAGCGUAUAUUUAAGUUGUUGCAGUUAAAAAGCUCGUAGUCGGAUUUUGGCUGAGAACGAACGGUCCGCCGUUAGGUGUGCACUGUUUGGUCUCAGCUUCCUGGUGAGGAGGUGUGCUUCACGGCCACUUAGUCACCGUGGUUACUUUGAAAAAAUUAGAGUGUUCAAAGCGGGCUUACGCUUGAAUAUAUUAGCAUGGAAUAACACCAUAGGACUCCUGUCCUAUUUCGUUGGUCUCGGGACGGGAGUAAUGAUUAAGAGGAACAGUUGGGGGCAUUCGUAUUUCAUUGUCAGAGGUGAAAUUCUUGGAUUUAUGAAAGACGAACUUCUGCGAAAGCAUUUGCCAAGGAUGUUUUCAUUGAUCAAGAACGAAAGUUGGGGGCUCGAAGAUGAUUAGAUACCAUCCUAGUCUCAACCAUAAACGAUGCCGACUAGGGAUUGGCGGAUGUUAAUUGAUGACUUCGCCAGCACCUUAUGAGAAAUCAAAGUUUUUGGGUUCCGGGGGGAGUAUGGUCGCAAGGCUGAAACUUAAAGGAAUUGACGGAAGGGCACCACCAGGCGUGGAGCCUGCGGCUUAAUUUGACUCAACACGGGGAAACUUACCAGGUCCAGGCAUAGUAAGGAUUGACAGAUUGAGAGCUCUUUCUUGAUUCUAUGGGUG